CUCCAACGCCGCCGAGAUCGAGCGCACACGAUGCGCUCCGGCAGCGUCGCCGUGCUCCACGUCGCGCUGCGUCGCCGGCCUCCUUGCCAACGCUUCCUACACUCCUUCGGCCUCACGCACGCUCUGCGUCGGCGCGCAGCCUCGGCCAGGAGGUGGCCUCGCUGCACUAGGUUAGGGUCGCCGACGUCGUCGGCAUCGGCCCGUCCAUGACGGUCAGACCGCUUCGCCACCGAGAUCGAGCGCGCGCUGCGCCCCGGCGGCGUCGCCAUGCUCCGAUCCACGUCCCGCUACAUCACCGGCCUUCUUGCCAACGGCGUUGCCGUCCCGGGCCUCCCCUUCCUCGUUGGCGACCAUGGUUGGGGGUAGCGUCCUUCUUGUUCUUGGCCGAGGCGGCACGUCACCAUCCUCGGCAGUCGUGGCUGUGGCCACGGCUGCAGCCACGGGGACCUCGGCGUCCGCAUCCUUGCAGGGCUCACCGUUUAUUGCAGGGGCGACGCGUUCCGGUCCUCGACGGCGGCAGUGGUUGGGGCACGGGAUCCACGCUCGCCAUGGACUCCAGCGCUCGCCGUUUGUGGCCAAGGCGGGCGGCUGCUGCCCCUGGUUGUACACGAGCGCGGCUGGUUCCAGUUUCAGAUGGACCCGGAGGCCGUGGCCGCACUGCUAAGGUCGAUCUGCACUGAACACUAAGCAGUUAUGUUCUGUUGACAUCCAUCGAGGCAGUGGUGGAGGACAUCAAGAAGGAACUUUUUGGCGUACCAAACAAGGACGGCAAGAUACAUAAUUAAUAUUACUGGAAUAGUGAGUUUAAUAUUUUUUCCCUUCUAUUUGUAUUGUGGGCCUCUGAGUAAUUGACAAUAUGAUAUCCGGCUUCUAUUCCAUUUAAUUAGACUAAAUUAGGCUCUAUGCAAUAUCACAACAUGAGGGAAUUUGCUGAUGAACUUAUUUGUUUGCUCACUUAUUUUAGAAAGAAGACUCUGGUUUUUACUGGAAUAGAAAUCUUAAGAACUAUUAAGUACCCACAAGUCAUGGCUUAUUUAAGAAUGGUGUUAUGUCACUAAAAGUUAGCUGUUUUUAGCGAAUUGGCUGCGUUGGAAGAAAAGAGGGUACGACUGUGCAAGUAGCAAGAACCAGAUGGAGAAUUAAACCAGAUGGGAGGAGGUAUGCUAUGUUCAUUGUGAUCACUGACAUUUUCUUAGCCUGACACAUCUCAUUCAACUUUUCAUUUCAAGCAUACAUUAGCACUUAUAAGCUUAAAUAUGAAGUACAUAGAAUUAGAAAAAAAAAUGUUUAUUUCACCUCCAAACCUUGCUUUGGAGCUGCAAAUUGUACUCUAAUAUGAUGUUGUUUGACGUGCAAUUAUGCUUCCAAUACUCAUUGUCCUGACAUGAAUUUGGUUCCAUCUUCAAUCUAGGCACCCUUGAUUAACUGCUCUGUUCUAGCUGACUGCUCGGCAGUGGCAACGAUAGCACUCAGGGACCUAUUGGCUUUUAGGUUAUGUACCAUUAUAAUUGCAUCAGCAGCUUGGCUCUCUCUCUCUCUCUCUCUCUCUCUCUCUGAUUUUUAGGAGCAAGCCCACCACCGCAGGGAUAUUCAAAUAUCAGCUUACGCAGGUAAGCAUCAUAGGACCAGCGAGAUUUCAAAUGUCAGGUAUGUGGAAUGCUAUUUCUCUCUUUGAUGCAACGAAAUUAAAGUAAGAUACUAUUUGCCAAGUUUCUAUUUGUUGAAGAUUUUGUGACAGAGCUGUCAGAAUCCUAAGCUUACUUGAUAUAUUCAGCGGAACUGAUUUAACUUGGGGUUUGAUGCACUUAAUCUUUGGUAACUUCAAGUCAUAUACUUCCUCCGUCCCAGAAAACAAGUCAUCCUAAGAAUUUUAGAAAAGAUUAACAAGAAUUUAAAAUGACCACAUUUGCCCCUAUUUAUUAUCCAUAUUUGACAGUAAUUGAUAUUUACAUGCAUAUGCACCUUUCAAUUAGGGUAAGAUGACUUGUUUUUUGGGACAAAUUUUGAAUCCUAGAAGAAUAACUUAUUUUUUGGGACAGAGGGAGUACUCAGGCUUCGAUUAUAUGAGAACUAUAAUUAUGACAAGCUUGCUUGGAGGUCAUGGACUCUUAAAUAAGCUGCGUGAGAGUACCUCGAGAAACUUGGAUGUCUAAUGAGUUUAACUGGUCAGUUAGAGAGCAGCUAAAUUUUAGAGUCAUUUUGAAGGUAUUGAACCAGUUAAUUCAUAAGCACGUUGAAUAGUACGAGAUCAAAGAUAUGCCCAAACCAGAUUUUGUUGUUUGUUGAGGCACAACACAUCGAUCUAUACACUAUUAUCGACCCAUAGCCUUCACUUAUUGCUACAUUUUUUUAUCUUUUUGUUCAGUAUUUUGCCUUUAAAAGGUGCAAUCUCUUUGUGCUUCACCAGUAUAUUUUCAUACUGAACUUCUGUACUUUUCUAGAUGGAUGAAUGUGCAACAUCUAAGAUCAUUUCUAACAGAUGAACUCAUCAAGGCUUUUGAAGAUUGGUGGAAGGACAUCGGCAUUCUCCAGGAGUCUGAAAGUGGUUUUGCAAAGUGUGCCUAAAGCUUUAGUGUGUUGUGCUGAAAAUCGACAGCUUUCAAAUGGAAGGGUAAGUUUUAUUGGGACAGAUGAAGAGAUGUGCUGGAGAGAGGAAGAACAUAAAAACUAUGGAGUUCGGGAUGUUUAGAUCAUUUUUCUUAUGAUGCUCGGCUUAGGGCUAGACCGGUAGUGGCAACAACGUCAGAAAAGGAUGGAACUGGUGUUCAUGGAGGAAAAGGUCGUGGACAGCUCACCAAGGAGUUGCUAUCAUAAUUUGUUUUGGUAGCUUAUUGGAGUUAAACGUUAAAGAAUCUUUGGAUCAUUGGCAUGUGCAAUUUAUUUUUGGACAUGGUGGUUAGAAUUUAAAAUUGUGGUACCUCUUUCUGAUC